GAUGAACGCUGGCGGCGUGCUUAACACAUGCAAGUCGAACGUGAGAGGAUAGCAAUAUUCUUGAAAGUGGCGCACGGGUGAGUAAUACGUAGGUAACCUGCCCUGGAGUGGGGGAUAACAACUAGAAAUGGUUGCUAAAUACCGCAUGAAGCCAAGACACUGGGAAGUGACAUGGUAAAAACUCUGGUGCUUCAGGAGGGGCCUACGGCCGAUUAGCUAGUUGGCGGGGUAAGAGCCCACCAAGGCAGUGAUCGGUAGCUGGUCUGAGAGGACGAUCAGCCACACGGGAACUGAGACACGGUCCCGACUCCUACGGGGGGCAGCAGUGAGGAAUAUUUGGGGCAAUGGGCGGAAGCCUGACCCAGCAACGCCGCGUGGAGGAAGACGGCCUUCGGGUUGUAAAC
rnacentral:rRNA from 1 species